rnacentral:rRNA from 1 species
GACGAACGCUGGCGGCGUGCCUAACACAUGCAAGUCGAACGGGGUAGAGAGCUUCGGUUUUCUACUUAGUGGCGAACGGGUGAGUAACGCGUGAGAAACCUGCCUUUCAGUGGGGGACAACAGUUGGAAACGACUGCUAAUACCGCAUAAUGUUAUUUGAGGGCAUCCUCCAAUAACCAAAGCUUUAUGUGCUGGAAGAUGGUAUCGCGUCUGAUUAGCUAGUUGGUGAGGUAACGGCUCACCAAGGCGACGAUCAGUAGCCGGUCUGAGAGGAUGGACGGCCACAUUGGGACUGAGAUACGGCCCAGACUCCUACGGGAGGCAGCAGUGGGGAAUAUUGGGCAAUGGGGGAAACCCUGACCCAGCAACGCCGCGUGAAGGAAGAAGGCCUUCGGGUUGUAAACUUCUUUUAGCAGGGACGAAGAUCGUGACGGUACCUGCAAAAAAAGCAACGGCUAACUACGUGCCAGCCGCCGCAGUAAUAC